GACAGAGGAUGCAAGCGUUAUCCGGAAUGAUUGGGCGUAAAGCGUCUGUAGGUGGCUUUUUAAGUCCGCCGUCAAAUCCCAGGGCUCAACCCUGGACAGGCGGUGGAAACUACCAAGCUGGAGUACGGUAGGGGCAGAGGGAAUUUCCGGUGGAGCGGUGAAAUGCGUAGAGAUCAGGAAGAACACCCGUGGCGAAGGCGGCCCACUGGGCCGGUGCUGACGCUGAGGCGCGAAGGCGUGGGGAGCGAACGGG
rnacentral:rRNA from 1 species